GAAUCAGUGCUGAAAAUCGUCUCUCAUCCGCCAAAACAUCUUCGGCGUUGUAAGGUUAAGCCUCACGGUUCAUUAGUACCGGUUAGCUCAACGCAUCGCUGCGCUUACACACCCGGCCUAUCAACGUCGUCGUCUUCAACGUUCCUUCAGGAGACCUAAAGUCUCAGGGAGAACUCAUCUCGGGGCAAGUUUCGUGCUUAGAUGCUUUCAGCACUUAUCUCUUCCGCAUUUAGCUACCGGGCAGUGCCAUUGGCAUGACAACCCGAACACCAGUGAUGCGUCCACUCCGGUCCUCUCGUACUAGGAGCAGCCCCCCUCAGUUCUCCAGCGCCCACGGCAGAUAGGGACCGAACUGUCUCACGACGUUCUAAACCCAGCUCGCGUACCACUUUAAAUGGCGAACAGCCAUACCCUUGGGACCUACUUCAGCCCCAGGAUGUGAUGAGCCGACAUCGAGGUGCCAAACACCGCCGUCGAUAUGAACUCUUGGGCGGUAUCAGCCUGUUAUCCCCGGAGUACCUUUUAUCCGUUGAGCGAUGGCCCUUCCAUUCAGAACCACCGGAUCACUAUGACCUGCUUUCGCACCUGCUCGCGCCGUCACGCUCGCAGUCAAGCUGGCUUAUGCCAUUGCACUAACCUCCUGAUGUCCGACCAGGAUUAGCCAACCUUCGUGCUCCUCCGUUACUCUUUAGGAGGAGACCGCCCCAGUCAAACUACCCACCAGACACUGUCCGCAACCCGGGUAACGGGUCCACGUUAGAACAUCAAACAUUAAAGGGUGGUAUUUCAAGGUCGGCUCCAUGCAGACUGGCGUCCACACUUCAAAGCCUCCCACCUAUCCUACACAUCAAGGCUCAAUGUUCAGUGUCAAGCUAUAGUAAAGGUUCACGGGGUCUUUCCGUCUUGCCGCGGGUACACUGCAUCUUCACAGCGAGUUCAAUUUCACUGAGUCUCGGGUGGAGACAGCCUGGCCAUCAUUACGCCAUUCGUGCAGGUCGGAACUUACCCGACAAGGAAUUUCGCUACCUUAGGACCGUUAUAGUUACGGCCGCCGUUUACCGGGGCUUCGAUCAGGAGCUUCGCUUGCGCUGACCCCAUCAAUUAACCUUCCGGCACCGGGCAGGCGUCACACCGUAUACGUCCACUUUCGUGUUUGCACAGUGCUGUGUUUUUAAUAAACAGUUGCAGCCAGCUGGUAUCUUCGACUGACUUCAGCUCCAUGAGUAAAUCACUUCACCUACGUGUCAGCGUGCCUUCUCCCGAAGUUACGGCACCAUUUUGCCUAGUUCCUUCACCCGAGUUCUCUCAAGCGCCUUGGUAUUCUCUACCUGACCACCUGUGUCGGUUUGGGGUACGAUUUGAUGUUACCUGAUGCUUAGAGGCUUUUCCUGGAAGCAGGGCAUUUGUUGCUUCAGCACCGUAGUGCCUCGUCGUCACGCCUCAGUGUUAAAGUGAACCGGAUUUACCUGGAACACACACCUACACGCUUAAACCGGGACAACCGUCGCCCGGCCAACAUAGCCUUCUCCGU
rnacentral:rRNA from 1 species